ACGGAAGGCAGCAGUGAGGAAUAUUGGUCAAUGGAGGAAACUCUGAACUAGCCAAGUCGCGUGAGGGAAGAAUGCCCUACGGGUUGUAAACCUCUUUUGCCGGGGGAUAAACCUGACCACGUGUGGUCAGCUUAAGGUACCCGGUGAAUAAGCAUCGGCUAACUCCGUGCCAGCAGCCGCGGUAAUACGGAGGAUGCGAGCGUUAUCCGGAUUUAUUGGGUUUAAAGGGUGCGCAGGCGGGCUGUUAAGUCAGCGGUGAAAUCUCCGGGCUCAACUCGGAAACUGCCGUUGAUACUGGCGGCCUUGAGUCAUGUCGAGGAUGGCGGAAUGCAGCGUGUAGCGGUGAAAUGCUUAGAUAUGCUGCAGAACUCCGAUUGCGAAGGCAGCUGUCCAGAGAUGUACUGACGCUGAGGCACGAAAGCAUGGGUAUCAAACAGGAUUAGAUACCCUGGUA
rnacentral:rRNA from 1 species